GGCGGCGUGCUUACACAUGCAAGUCGAACGCUGUCCAUUCGGUAGCAAUACUGAUGAAGACGGAGUGGCGAACGGGUGAGUAGCACGUGAGCAACCUGCCCCGAAGACUGGGACAACACCGGGAAACCGGUGCUAAUACCGGAUAUCCCCACCUGACCGCAUGAUCGGGUGAGGAAAUGAAUUUCGCUUCGGGAGGGGCUCGCGGCCUAUCAGCUUGUUGGUGAGGUAACGGCUCACCAAGGCUUCGACGGGUAGCUGGUCUGAGAGGACGAUCAGCCACACUGGGACUGAGACACGGCCCAGACUCCUACGGGAGGCAGCAGUGGGGAAUCUUGCGCAAUGGGCGAAAGCCUGACGCAGCAACGCCGCGUGAGGGACGAAGGCUUUCUGAGUUGUAAACCUCUUUCAGCAGGGACGAUUGUGACGGUACCUGCAGAAGAAGCACCGGCCAACUACGUGCCAGCAGCCGCGGUGAUACGUAGGGUGCAAGCGUUGUCCGGAUUUAUUGGGCGU
rnacentral:rRNA from 1 species